AGCUUGCUCCGCUGACGAGUGGCGAACGGGUGAGUAAUAUAUCGGAACGUACCCAGAAGUGGGGGAUAACGUAGCGAAAGUUACGCUAAUACCGCAUACGAUCCACGGAUGAAAGUAGGGGACCUUCGGGCCUUAUGCUUUUGGAGCGGCCGAUAUCUGAUUAGCUAGUUGGUGGGGUAAAGGCCUACCAAGGCGACGAUCAGUAGCUGGUCUGAGAGGACGACCAGCCACACUGGAACUGAGACACGGUCCAGACUCCUACGGGAGGCAGCAGUGGGGAAUUUUGGACAAUGGGCGCAAGCCUGAUCCAGCAAUGCCGCGUGAGUGAAGAAGGCCUUCGGGUUGUAAAGCUCUUUUGUCAGGGAAGAAACGGUAGAGGCUAAUAUCCUUUGCUAAUGACGGUACCUGAAGAAUAAGCACCGGCUAACUACGUGCCAGCAGCCGCGGUAAUACGUAGGGUGCAAGCGUUAAUCGGAAUUACUGGGCGUAAAGCGUGCGCAGGCGGUUUUGUAAGUCUGACGUGAAAUCCCCGGGCUCAACCUGGGAAUUGCGUUGGAGACUGCAAGGCUAGAAUCUGGCAGAGGGGGGUAGAAUUCCACGUGUAGCAGUGAAAUGCGUAGAGAUGUGGAGGAACACCGAUGGCGAAGGCAGCCCCCUGGGUCAAGAUUGACGCUCAUGCACGAAAGCGU
rnacentral:rRNA from 1 species